rnacentral:rRNA from 1 species
GGGUCCGGACACACUGAGGAUUGACAGGUAUUAUAUAGCGCGCUUGCGCGUCUAUUGGUUAAAUAUGCUAGUCCUUUCAUGAUUAUGUGAUAGGUGGUGCAUGGCCGUUCUUAGUUCGUGGAGUGAUCUGUCUGCUUAAUUGCGUUUCAGAUAAGGAUCUAUAUUCUUUACAGAAGUGUUGCGUUUGUGCGCAUUUGACCCCUCGUUCGCGAGUGCGUGUCUUUUCGCGCUCGCACGCUUUUUACAUUAGGUCCUGAAAGCAACGAACGUGACCGCAACCUCUUGUUGCCUCAUCUCCCUACUUUUUUAGCACUUCGGUGUUGAAUAAUUUCAUUGAGGCUUUCCAAAACUAGAGGGACCGCUGUCAACUUCUUAAACCAGAGGAAGGUUGCGGCAAUAACAGGUCUGUGAUGCCCUUAGAUGUUCCGGGCUGCACACGUGCUACAAUGAUUGUUGCAGUGAGCAUCUCAAUUUUUUACCUUAACACCGCACACGUGAGUACGCAUACUUGUAUGUUUACUUUACGCAGCGGUAAAGCCUGCUUC